rnacentral:rRNA from 1 species
UGGGGAAUAUUGGACAAUGGGCGCAAGCCUGAUCCAGCCAUGCCGCGUGAGUGAUGAAGGCCUUAGGGUUGUAAAGCUCUUUCGCCGACGAAGAUAAUGACGGUAGUCGGAGAAGAAGCCCCGGCUAACUUCGUGCCAGCAGCCGCGGUAAUACGAAGGGGGCUAGCGUUGUUCGGAAUCACUGGGCGUAAAGCGCACGUAGGCGGAUUGUUAAGUCAGGGGUGAAAGCCUGGAGCUCAACUCCAGAACUGCCCUUGAUACUGGCAAUCUCGAGUCCGGAAGAGGUAAGUGGAACUGCGAGUGUAGAGGUGAAAUUCGUAGAUAUUCGCAAGAACACCAGUGGCGAAGGCGGCUUACUGGUCCGGUACUGACGCUGAGGUGCGAAAAGCGUGGGGAGCAAAACAGGAUUAGAUACCCUGGUAGUCCACGCCGUAAAACGAUGGAGGCUAGCCGUUGGCGAGCAUGCUCGUCAGUGGCGCAGCUAACGCAUUAAGCCUCCCGCCUGGGGAGUACGGUCGCAAGAUUAAAAACUCAAAAGGAAUUGAC